UGGGGAAUUUUGGACAAUGGGGGAAACCCUGAUCCAGCCAUCCCGCGUGUGCGAUGAAGGCCUUCGGGUUGUACAGCACUUUUGGCAGGAAAGAAACGUCAUGGGUUAAUACCCCGUGAAACUGACGGUACCUGCAGAAUAAGCACCGGCUAACUACGUGCCAGCAGCCGCGGUAAUACGUAGGGUGCAAGCGUUAAUCGGAAUUACUGGGCGUAAAGCGUGCGCAGGCGGUUCGGAAAGAAAGAUGUGAAAUCCCAGAGCUCAACUUUGGAACUGCAUUUUUAACUAACGGGCUAGAGUGUGUCAGAGGGAGGUGGAAUUCCGCGUGUAGCAGUGAAAUGCGUAGAUAUGCGGAGGAACACCGAUGGCGAAGGCAGCCUCCUGGGAUAACACUGACGCUCAUGCACGAAAGCGUGGGGAGCAAACAGG
rnacentral:rRNA from 1 species